rnacentral:rRNA from 1 species
UACGUAGGGUGCAAGCGUUUGUCCGGAAUUAUUGGGCGUAAAGAGCUCGUAGGCGGUCUGUCGCGUCGAAUGUGAAAACCCGGGGCUCAACCCCGGGCCUGCAUUCGAUACGGGCAGACUAGAGUUCGGUAGGGGAGUCUGGAAUUCCUGGUGUAGCGGUGAAAUGCGCAGAUAUCAGGAGGAACACCCAUGGCGAAGGCAGCAAACUGGGCAUCAUCUGACGCUGAGGCGCGAAAGCGUGGGGGAGGCAACAGG